rnacentral:sRNA from 1 species
UCCCAAGCUGCCUUCUCUUGAAGGAUUAC